rnacentral:misc_RNA from 1 species
UGGGUUGGCGGGCUCCGUGCUACGGCAUCGAACCGUCCGCGCGCACUCCACGUCAGUGAUGCAUCAAGAGUUUCUUAUGCUUCAAACGGAUUCCUGUACUUGCUACCUAUCGUAAAGGUAUGGCGCCUCUCGUUGACUCUUUCCUUCCCUGACUCAUGCGGUCUGGGGGAGGACAUCGUAGUGGCGCCUGUGCCCCCCGCAUUGUGCGUGCCUUAUGGUCCGCACUUUACGACGGUUCCCAGGUCGUUGCUUGAUGCCUCGGAUACGGAACAUUCGGUGGGCUUUGGGUGUUCGCACCCUCGAUGUCCGAUUCCAAGCGUUUUUGUCGCUAGACAUGUACGAUUGUCAUGCUCCGUUGCGGGAUCCCCCGCGCGGUCGCUGGCGUCGGUAUAGGAAUGCUACCUGGUU